rnacentral:rRNA from 1 species
GACGAACGCUGGCGGCGUGCUUAACACAUGCAAGUGGAGCGACGAACCAGGGCUUGCCCUGGGGCAGAGCCGCGAACGGGUGAGUAACACGUGGGUAACCUGCCUUGAUGAUUGGGACAACCCCGGGAAACCGGGGCUAAUACCAAAUGUGCUCACACCCCUGAUGGGUAUGAGGAAAGGAAGCUUCGGCCUCCGCAUCGAGAUGGGCCCGCGGUGCAUUAGCUUGUUGGUGGGGUAAUGGCCUACCAAGGCUUCGAUGCAUAGCUGGUCUGAGAGG